rnacentral:rRNA from 1 species
GACGUAGGGCGCGAGCGUUGUCCGGAUUUAUUGGGCGUAAAGAGCUCGUAGGCGGCUUGUCGCGUCGAAUGUGAAAACUCGGGGCUCAACUCCGAGCUUGCAUUCGAUACGGGCAGGCUAGAGUUCGGUAGGGGGAGACUGGAAUUCCUGGUGUAGCGGUGAAAUGCGCAGAUAUCAGGAGGAACACCGGUGGCGAAGGCGGGUCUCUGGGCCGAUACUGACGCUGAGGAGCGAAAGCGUGGGGAGCGAACAGG